rnacentral:rRNA from 1 species
GGGUGUGACUGCGUACCUUUUGUAUAAUGGGUCAGCGACUUAUAUUCUGUAGCAAGGUUAACCGUAUAGGGGAGCCGCAGGGAAACCGAGUCUUAACUGGGCGUUAAGUUGCAGGGUAUAGACCCGAAACCCGGUGAUCUAGCCAUGGGCAGGUUGAAGGUUGGGUAACACUAACUGGAGGACCGAACCGACUAAUGUUGAAAAAUUAGCGGAUGACUUGUGGCUGGGGGUGAAAGGCCAAUCAAACCGGGAGAUAGCUGGUUCUCCCCGAAAGCUAUUUAGGUAGCGCCUCGUGAACUCAUCUUCGGGGGUAGAGCACUGUUUCGGCUAGGGGGUCAUCCCGACUUACCAACCCGAUGCAAACUACGAAUACCGAAGAAUGUUAUCACGGGAGACACACGGCGGGUGCUAACGUCCGUCGUGAAGAGGGAAACAACCCAGACCGCCAGCUAAGGUCCCAAAGUCACAGUUAAGUGGGAAACGAUGUGGGAAGGCACAGACAGCCAGGAUGUUGGCUUAGAAGCAGCCAUCAUUUAAAGAAAGCGUAAUAGCUCACUGGUCGAGUCGGCCUGCGCGGAAGAUGUAACGGGGCUAAACUGUGCACCGAAGCUGCGGCAGCGACACUAUGUGUUGUUGGGUAGGGGAGCGUUCUGUAAGCCUGCGAAGGUGGCCUGUGAGGGUUGCUGGAGGUAUCAGAAGUGCGAAUGCUGACAUAAGUAACGAUAAUGCGGGUGAAAAGCCCGCACGCCGGAAGACCAAGGGUUCCUGUCCAACGUUAAUCGGGGCAGGGUGAGUCGACCCCUAAGGCGAGGCCGAAAGGCGUAGUCGAUGGGAAACAGGUUAAUAUUCCUGUACUUGGUGUUACUGCGAAGGGGGGACGGAGAAGGCUAUGUUAGCCGGGCGACGGUUGUCCCGGUUUAAGCAUGUAGGCGGAGGUUCCAGGUAAAUCCGGUACCUUUUAACGCUGAGGUGUGAUGACGAGGCACUACGGUGCUGAAGUAACAAAUGCCCUGCUUCCAGGAAAAGCCUCUAAGCAUCAGGUAACAUUAAAUCGUACCCCAAACCGACACAGGUGGUCAGGUAGAGAAUACCAAGGCGCUUGAGAGAACUCGGGUGAAGGAACUAGGCAAAAUGGUGCCGUAACUUCGGGAGAAGGCACGCUGAUAUGUAGGUGAAGCCCCUGCGGGUGGAGCUGAAAUCAGUCGAAGAUACCAGCUGGCUGCAACUGUUUAUUAAAAACACAGCACUGUGCAAACACGAAAGUGGACGUAUACGGUGUGACGCCUGCCCGGUGCCGGAAGGUUAAUUGAUGGGGUUAUCCGUAAGGAGAAGCUCUUGAUCGAAGCCCCGGUAAACGGCGGCCGUAACUAUAACGGUCCUAAGGUAGCGAAAUUCCUUGUCGGGUAAGUUCCGACCUGCACGAAUGGCGUAAUGAUGGCCAGGCUGUCUCCACCCGAGACUCAGUGAAAUUGAACUCGCUGUGAAGAUGCAGUGUACCCGCGGCAAGACGGAAAGACCCCGUGAACCUUUACUAUAGCUUGACACUGAACAUUGAGCCUUGAUGUGUAGGAUAGGUGGGAGGCUUUGAAGCGUGGACGCCAGUCUGCGUGGAGCCAACCUUGAAAUACCACCCUUUAAUGUUUGAUGUUCUAACGUUGGCCCCUGACCGGGGUUGCGGACAGUGUCUGGUGGGUAGUUUGACUGGGGCGGUCUCCUCCCAAAGAGUAACGGAGGAGCACGAAGGUUAGCUAAUCCUGGUCGGACAUCAGGAGGUUAGUGCAAUGGCAUAAGCUAGCUUGACUGCGAGCGUGACGGCGCGAGCAGGUGCGAAAGCAGGUCAUAGUGAUCCGGUGGUUCUGAAUGGAAGGGCCAUCGCUCAACGGAUAAAAGGUACUCCGGGGAUAACAGGCUGAUACCGCCCAAGAGUUCAUAUCGACGGCGGUGUUUGGCACCUCGAUGUCGGCUCAUCACAUCCUGGGGCUGAAGUAGGUCCCAAGGGUAUGGCUGUUCGCCAUUUAAAGUGGUACGCGAGCUGGGUUUAGAACGUCGUGAGACAGUUCGGUCCCUAUCUGCCGUGGGCGCUGGAGAAUUGAGGGGGGCUGCUCCUAGUACGAGAGGACCGGAGUGGACGCAUCACUGGUGUUCGGGUUGUCAUGCCAAUGGCAUUGCCCGGUAGCUAAAUGCGGAAGAGAUAAGUGCUGAAAGCAUCUAAGCACGAAACUUGCCCCGAGAUGAGUUCUCCCUGAGACUUUAAGUCUCCUGAAGGAACGUUAAAGACGAUGACGUUGAUAGGUCGGGUGUGUAAGCGUAGCGAUACGUUGAGCUAACCGAUACUAAUGAACCGUGAGGCUUAACCUU